AGAUCAUAGAUACUAUAGAAGACAGCGGGCUAUCGUAUCUAGUCUAUGUAUAUCUAUGGUCGGCAGGUCUGGUAGCAUCUCUGGCUGCUGUUGAUCUUGUUUUUGGAGUAAAACACGGUGGAAGCUGAAUUAGUGAGGAUGACUCCUGCUCCUGUCAUCUCUAAGCUCCUCACACAUCUUUACCUGCACAUGAGGAAAAUCACUCCUGUAGAAUGCAGAUGUUCAGAGGGAGAUGAUGCCACAUCUGGUCCAGCUGAUGGAAGGUCUUGAAGUUCUCUGACUGGCCUCGACUGAAGAUGGUCGUCUCACUGGAUUUAAGGUUCAGAUGCUCAGUAACAAACUCCACCAAUGUGCCAACAGGGAAGCUUUAGGUUUAUUAAAUGUUGCUAUGAAGGUUUCGCUGUUUUUCUUUGUGAAUGCAAUGUGCUCCAACUGAAACUUGAAUUAGAACUUAGAAGUAAAUCCUUCCAUCUGAAAGGAUUUAGUUGCAUUAAUAACCUCAUAACAUUUUAAUUUUUCUUCCAGUCUUGGUUGGAAAUAGAAUCUCUGUAUUGAUUCAGGUAAAAACUGAACUUCACAGCAUGUUGGAGCAAAACAACCAGAUGAAAACUGUGAUGGUGUUGGAUUGUCAGACCGUAAUGUUGCAGCUCAAAGCAGCUUUUCUAUCUCAGUUCAUUCUGACAUUCAGCUAUGAAUCAACACAGCAGAUGGUGAUCCAUGCUGUGGAAGUCUCACAUCUCCUGAUUUAAUGGAACUGCUUUGCACUUUUUACACUGUUUAUUUACCAACACUUUAUUUAAUAAAAGUCCCAUCUAGUUUUUAUGAGGAAUGUGAUGUUUUAAUUUCUCUGUGAAUAACUGCAGUCUAAUGGAACAGCUGGAGUUGUAACAUCUGUCCUGAUAUUGAUCAUGAAGUAUUGAUCAGAAUACUUAUGGUCAGCAGUCAUCCCUGAAGUUUUACAUUAAAACCUUUACUUGUGUUGUGAAUUUGGUAAGAAGCAUUGUAAAGUUUCUGCUCCUUCAAAGUUCACAACACAAUGAAUGAAUUUCUAAAACACUCUCAAUGCUGGAGAGCGUUUGUGAUGCUGAAGCAGUGAGCAGUUUUUCUGUUUCUUCUCUGGAGAUGCACAAUGAGGGACGUCUGCAGAGACUGAGAAAGAGUCUCACCACAUCCUGACAUGAGGAAAAAGACUUUAUUGAAGACUACAAUGAGAAAAACUAUCAGACAGCAGACGGCAUGCAUUCAAGUCUGUAGCUGCUGAAUUCAUGGAUGAAUCAUCUGGCACUAGAGAGGAAGACCAUCAAACAUCCAUGUCAGCUGAUGGAGGUCCAAGAGUCUCACCAAACAACCAACCUACAGAGUGAAGACCUCAAAUCUGAUUGGACGGCCUCCUAUUCAGCCACAUGUGACCACUUUAAUUAUUCUUCAUCUACUUCCUGAAAAGUUUGGUCAAUAAAAAAGACAAAAACUAGUAUUUUCAGCUGAACUAAAGACAGACUUUGUGAUUUUUCUGCUCACGUGUUGUGUUGUUGUAAACUUACUCUUUCAAAUAAAUAGCUGCCUAACCCCC
ensembl:lncRNA